GUAAAAACUCAUCAAUUGGCAAGGAGAAACCAAGAUUUGUCUAUUGCAUGUUCUAAAAAUCCAGCCAUCUAAGCAUAUCUAGUAGAUUGGCGUGAAGGAAGAAGGCUCAAGUGCUAAGAAAACGGAAGGUUCACAAGAUCGAGGUAAAUCCUCGACUUAGGCAUAAGGAUGGCUUGGAGUGUGCACACUUGGGUUACGCCUACCACACGCUUCCGUUAAUAAGACUUUGUUUUGAAUGGGUCAAUUGUGGUGUUUUGUACUUAACCUUAACUCGUACAUGGUACUUGUCGUUGGAAAAUUUUUAGUAGUAAUAGUCGUGUUGUGUUCUAUGUA